CCUACGGGUGGCAGCAGUGGGGAAUAUUGCACAAUGGGGGAAACCCUGAUGCAGCGACGCCGCGUUAGUGAAGAAGUAUUUCGGGAUGUUAAGCUCUAUCAGCAGGGAAGAAACCCACCCUCCGGGGUGGCUGACGGUAACUGACUAAGAAGCCCCGGCUAACUACGUGCCAGCAGCCGCGGUCAUACGGAGGGGGCAAGCGUUCUCCGGAUUUACUGGGGGUAAAGGGAGCGGAGGUGGCAAGGGAAGUCAGAUGUGAAAAGCCGGGGCCCAACCCCGGGAGUGCAUGGGAAACUGUCUGGCUAGAGUGCAGGAGAGGUAAGUGGAAUUCGUGGUGUAGCGGUGAAAUGCAUAGAUAUUAGGAGGAACACCAGUGGCGAAGGCGGCUUACUGGACUGUAACUGACGCUGAGGCUCGAAAGCGUGGGGAGCAAACAGGAUUAGAUACCCCGGUAGUC
rnacentral:rRNA from 1 species